rnacentral:lncRNA from 1 species
GACAUGAGUAAGAAGUUUCAGAAUUAUUCUAUCCCUGUACAGAUUAUGUACUCUUUGAUUAUCGACAUGUUAACUUAGAUAGAUAUUCUGUUCAUUGAUUUUUAUAAAUGGUUAUACAAGUGUCCCCACUUGGAUAAUCAUGGCAUUUGUCCACAUGUUGAUACACCUUUGUCAAUUACCCGUAUAUAUAUGUUGAAUUACAUAUUAAUGUUGAGCAAGAUUAAAAACCUUCAGGUUCGGAACCAGGCAUGUAUGAACAUCCCUAUAUGGGAAGAUUUUUGCGCAAGGCGGAUAGAGUGAGCGAUGAAUUUCGUUCAAGUUAUGUAGUAUUGAUCA